rnacentral:rRNA from 1 species
AAUUUUGGACAAUGGGGGAAACCCUGAUCCAGCCAUCCCGCGUGUAUGAUGAAGGCCUUCGGGUUGUAAAGUACUUGUGUCAGAGAAGAAAAGGCACCUCCUAAUACGAGGUACUGCUGACGGAAUCUGCAGAAUAAGCACCGGCUAACUACGUGACAGCAGCCGCGGUAAUACGUAGGGUGCAAGCGUUAAUCGGAAUUACUGGGCGUAAAGCGUGUGUAGGCGGUUCGGAAAGAAAGAUGUGAAAUCCCAGGGCUCGACCUUGGAACUGCAUUUUUAACUGCCGAGCCAGAGUAUGUCAGAGGGGGGUAGAAUUCCACGUGUAGCAGUGAAAUGCGUAGAUAUGUGGAGGAAUACCGAUGGCGAAGGCAGCCCCCUGGGAUAAUACUGACGCUCAGACACGAAAGCGUGGGGAGCAAGC